rnacentral:rRNA from 2 species
GGUUAAGCGACUAAGCGUACACGGUGGAUGCCCUGGCAGUCAGAGGCGAUGAAGGACGUGCUAAUCUGCGAAAAGCGUCGGUAAGGUGAUAUGAACCGUUAUAACCGGCGAUGUCCGAAUGGGGAAACCCAGUGCAAUUCGUUGCACUAUCGUUAACUGAAUACAUAGGUUAACGAGGCGAACCGGGGGAACUGAAACAUCUAAGUACCCCGAGGAAAAGAAAUCAACCGAGAUUCCCCCAGUAGCGGCGAGCGAACGGGGAGCAGCCCAGAGUCUGAAUCAGCUUGUGUGUUAGUGGAACGGUCUGGAAAGUCCGACGGUACAGGGUGAUAGUCCCGUACACCAAAAUGCACAGGUUGUGAACUCGAAGAGUAGGGCGGGACACGUGGUAUCCUGUCUGAAUAUGGGGGGACCAUCCUCCAAGGCUAAAUACUCCUGACUGACCGAUAGUGAACCAGUACCGUGAGGGAAAGGCGAAAAGAACCCCGGCGAGGGGAGUGAAAAAGAACCUGAAACCGUGUACGUACAAGCAGUGGGAGCACCUUCGGGUGUGACUGCGUACCUUUUGUAUAAUGGGUCAGCGACUUAUAUUCUGUAGCAAGGUUAACCGUAUAGGGGAGCCGCAGGGAAACCGAGUCUUAACUGGGCGUUAAGUUGCAGGGUAUAGACCCGAAACCCGGUGAUCUAGCCAUGGGCAGGUUGAAGGUUGGGUAACACUAACUGGAGGACCGAACCGACUAAUGUUGAAAAAUUAGCGGAUGACUUGUGGCUGGGGGUGAAAGGCCAAUCAAACCGGGAGAUAGCUGGUUCUCCCCGAAAGCUAUUUAGGUAGCGCCUCGUGAACUCAUCUUCGGGGGUAGAGCACUGUUUCGGCUAGGGGGUCAUCCCGACUUACCAACCCGAUGCAAACUACGAAUACCGAAGAAUGUUAUCACGGGAGACACACGGCGGGUGCUAACGUCCGUCGUGAAGAGGGAAACAACCCAGACCGCCAGCUAAGGUCCCAAAGUCAUGGUUAAGUGGGAAACGAUGUGGGAAGGCACAGACAGCCAGGAUGUUGGCUUAGAAGCAGCCAUCAUUUAAAGAAAGCGUAAUAGCUCACUGGUCGAGUCGGCCUGCGCGGAAGAUGUAACGGGGCUAAACCAUGCACCGAAGCUGCGGCAGCGACACUAUGUGUUGUUGGGUAGGGGAGCGUUCUGUAAGCCUGCGAAGGUGACCUGUGAGGGUUGCUGGAGGUAUCAGAAGUGCGAAUGCUGACAUAAGUAACGAUAAAGCGGGUGAAAAGCCCGCUCGCCGGAAGACCAAGGGUUCCUGUCCAACGUUAAUCGGGGCAGGGUGAGUCGACCCCUAAGGCGAGGCCGAAAGGCGUAGUCGAUGGGAAACAGGUUAAUAUUCCUGUACUUGGUGUUACUGCGAAGGGGGGACGGAGAAGGCUAUGUUAGCCGGGCGACGGUUGUCCCGGUUUAAGCAUGUAGGCUGAUUAUCCAGGCAAAUCCGGAUAAUCAAGGCUGAGGUGUGAUGACGAGGCACUACGGUGCUGAAGUAACAAAUGCCCUGCUUCCAGGAAAAGCCUCUAAGCAUCAGGUAACAUCAAAUCGUACCCCAAACCGACACAGGUGGUCAGGUAGAGAAUACCAAGGCGCUUGAGAGAACUCGGGUGAAGGAACUAGGCAAAAUGGUGCCGUAACUUCGGGAGAAGGCACGCUGGUGUGUAGGUGAAGUCCCUGCGGAUGGAGCUGAGACCAGUCGAAGAUACCAGCUGGCUGCAACUGUUUAUUAAAAACACAGCACUGUGCAAACACGAAAGUGGACGUAUACGGUGUGACGCCUGCCCGGUGCCGGAAGGUUAAUUGAUGGGGUUAUCCGUAAGGAGAAGCUCUUGAUCGAAGCCCCGGUAAACGGCGGCCGUAACUAUAACGGUCCUAAGGUAGCGAAAUUCCUUGUCGGGUAAGUUCCGACCUGCACGAAUGGCGUAAUGAUGGCCAGGCUGUCUCCACCCGAGACUCAGUGAAAUUGAACUCGCUGUGAAGAUGCAGUGUACCCGCGGCAAGACGGAAAGACCCCGUGAACCUUUACUAUAGCUUGACACUGAACAUUGAGCCUUGAUGUGUAGGAUAGGUGGGAGGCUUUGAAGCGUGGACGCCAGUCUGCGUGGAGCCAACCUUGAAAUACCACCCUUUAAUGUUUGAUGUUCUAACGUUGGCCCCUUACCGGGGUUGCGGACAGUGUCUGGUGGGUAGUUUGACUGGGGCGGUCUCCUCCCAAAGCGUAACGGAGGAGCACGAAGGUUAGCUAAUCCUGGUCGGACAUCAGGAGGUUAGUGCAAUGGCAUAAGCUAGCUUGACUGCGAGCGUGACGGCGCGAGCAGGUGCGAAAGCAGGUCAUAGUGAUCCGGUGGUUCUGAAUGGAAGGGCCAUCGCUCAACGGAUAAAAGGUACUCCGGGGAUAACAGGCUGAUACCGCCCAAGAGUUCAUAUCGACGGCGGUGUUUGGCACCUCGAUGUCGGCUCAUCACAUCCUGGGGCUGAAGUAGGUCCCAAGGGUAUGGCUGUUCGCCAUUUAAAGUGGUACGCGAGCUGGGUUUAGAACGUCGUGAGACAGUUCGGUCCCUAUCUGCCGUGGGCGCUGGAGAAUUGAGGGGGGCUGCUCCUAGUACGAGAGGACCGGAGUGGACGCAUCACUGGUGUUCGGGUUGUCAUGCCAAUGGCACUGCCCGGUAGCUAAAUGCGGAAGAGAUAAGUGCUGAAAGCAUCUAAGCACGAAACUUGCCCCGAGAUGAGUUCUCCCUGAGACUUUAAGUCUCCUGAAGGAACGUUAAAGACGAUGACGUUGAUAGGCCGGGUGUGUAAGCGCAGCGAUGCGUUGAGCUAACCGGUACUAAUGAACCGUGAGGCUUAACCUU